rnacentral:lncRNA from 1 species
UUGUUACCAGUUUGUUGUGUACUUGUGUUAUUGUUGCUAGUUUAUUGGACUUUUGUUGUGUUGUUUUUAUUUUUUUGUUUUGUUGUUUGGACUGAUGUAGUUUUUUGCUAUAUUUUGGGCUUUUGCUUAUAUUUACUAUUAUAAUCUUAUUGUGUUGUUGCUAUUGUUUACUUGGGUUCAUAUAGUUUACUUGGACUUAUGUUGUGUUGCUUUUAUUUGUUCACUUUUUUGCUUCAAUUUUUCUUUGUAUGAUCAUAUUUAAAAACUUUAAAGAAAUUUAUUUUUAAAAAAAUUAUAUAAAAAUAAACAACACCAAGGUCAUUCUUUUUAAUUUAACUCGAGCAAAUAUAUUCGAUUCGGU